CCUACGGGAGGCAGCAGUGGGGAAUUUUGCGCAAUGCUCGUAAGAGUGACGCAGCGACGCCGCGUGAAUGACGAAGGCCUUCGGGUCGUAAAGUUCUUUCGACAGGGAAGAAAAUGCCUAUAAGUGACUGUGUAUGUAUUGACGGUACCGUUAUAAGCAGCCCCGGCUAACUCCGGGCCAGCAGCCGCGGUAAUACGGAGGGGGAGAGCGUUGUUCGGAGUGACUGGGCGUAAAGGGCACGUAGGCGGUGUUGUAAGUCAUUAGUCAAAGACCAGAGCUCAACUUCAGUAAGGCUAGGGAUACUAUAAAACUAGAGUACCAGAGAGGAAUGUAGAAUUCCUGGUGUAGCGGUGAAAUGCGUAGAUAUAAGGAGGAAUACCGUUAGCGAAGGCGGCAAUCUGGCUGGAAACUGACGCUGAGGUGCGAAAGCGUGGGUAGCAAACAGGAUUAGAUACCCGGGUAGUC
rnacentral:rRNA from 1 species